rnacentral:misc_RNA from 1 species
UGAUGAUGGAGGGAGCUGAGCUCCUAAAUGUUGAUAUAUGUGAUUUGAGGAUUAUGAGGGAGAGUUGAGCUCCCCAUAUUAUUGAUAUUAUUUGUUUACAGGUCAGAUGAGUUAAUGCUCCCUGUUGAAUAGUCAAAUUUAUGGCUGAACUCUGUCUAUUUAUUUUCUUGAAAUUGAGCUAUCUUAAUGAGUUUUAUGAAUGAAUUAGAAAUAAUUGUGCCUACUACGGGUUUCGGAGGCCUUAUGCUGACUCAAGUUCUAGUGCCGGUCCAGCCCAGAAAUCGGGUCAUUACACUACCUCCAGUUCUAAUCAUUCAUGCCCCUAGGGAAGCCAACUCAGUUGUCGAUGCGUUGGCAAAGCAAGGGCUAUUCCGUCCUAUAGAUUUUGUGGCAUCUCUAUGAUCUUAAUUGCCAAUUACUUGGCAGGGUAUUUUGCUAUUUGAUGAAUUCUUGGUAGUUCGGUGACCUGUUAUGAUAUUGUAACCAAUGUUUGCCUACAUUGCUAUUUUUCUUUUUACUUUUCUUUAUUGUGUGCCUAGCUGAACUUGCUGGUUUGUCCUUUUGCUUGGUUUUCCUCUAAUGCUUUGGCUAUAGCUAGAGCCGAUUGUAUGUCGUGACUUUUUGUCAAUGUGUUCCAGUUUGGUUUGUUUUUGUACCUUGUUUUAAGGUUUUUUCACUUAGCAUGUCUAUCCUAAUUUGGUUUGUAUGGAUCAAUCUAUUGAAGGGGGUAUAGUUUGAACAUGCACAUACUAAAUU